GAGUGUUGAGGAACAAAAUCUGGU
rnacentral:siRNA from 1 species